rnacentral:rRNA from 1 species
UACAGAGGGUGCAAGCGUUAAUCGGAAUUACUGGGCGUAAAGCGCGCGUAGGUGGUUCGUUAAGUUGGAUGUGAAAUCCCCGGGCUCAACCUGGGAACUGCAUCCAAACUGGCGAGCUAGAGUAGGGCAGAGGGUGGUGGAAUUUCCUGUGUAGCGGUGAAAUGCGUAGAUAUAGGAAGGAACACCAGUGGCGAAGGCGACCACCUGGGCUCAUACUGACACUGAGGUGCGAAAGCGUGGGGAGCAAACAGG